ACGUCGAGAACAGUCAGGUCUGCCUCGUGGGAACAGAAGGUUCCCAGAGUGGGGUCUGGGGCAGAGAACUCUCUCCCUGUCCCCAAGGCUCGGACUCACGCCUCCCCACCUUGGUCCCGGGGUGGGGGUCAGGCCCCUGCGAGUCGUCUGCACCUGGCAAGGCAUCCUGGGCAACCUGGGGGCAGCUCCUGCCUGACAUCCCGCAGGCCCGAGGAAUGUGGUGGGAGCCCAGGUUGACUGUGUCACUUAUCCACCACUGUGUAAUGGAUUACCCCAAAUGACAGUAAACAUUGGGUACACCCCCUGUUUUCUGUGGGCAGGAACUCGGGAGUGGCUGGGCUGGAUGCCUCUGGCUUGGGGGGGCAGUGUGGUCUCUUGUGAGGUCACUGUCAGGUGUUGGCUGGGACUGCCGUCAUCAGGAGGCUGGACUGGGGCUGGGGACUCAGCUUUCAAGGAGGCACACUCCCAGGGCUGGCAACUGGGGCUGGCUGUUGGCGAGAGGCCUCGGCUCCCUUGCGUGGGCUGCCGCCCCGUGGCACUGGCUUCCCCCAGAGGAAGCAGUCCCAGAGCAGGGCGGAAGCUGCAACGCCAUAUGACUUAACCUCGGAAGUCACGCUGUCACUUCUGCAAUAUCCUAUCCGUUACGCAGUUUGGCUCUGUUGGGGGAGGGUGGCACUGCAUGAGGGUGUGACCAUCGGGAGGAGAGAAUCACUGGGACCCACGCAGGAGGAGGCAGGUGGUCAGAUCGCGGUGAACCAGCCCUCUACGUGGGCUCCACAUGCCCCACUGCAGCCUCCUGUGUGCCAGCACUGUGCCGGCUUUGGGUGUGUGGGGGGAAGGAAGCAGACCCAGCCUCGGUCAAGCAGAGAAAGGACUCGAUCCAGUCAGAGGGCUCAUCAGGUUCCUGUUUCCAGAUAGGGAAACUGAGGCUUCGAGAGGAAGGGAGACUUAGUCACGAUCAGGCAGCAAAUAAGCGGUGAGGCCGUGAUUCAAGCGCAGGCCUGGCUGACCCGGGCCCCAGCUCUGUCCAGGGAGGCAGGCCCCCUGCGGCCUGGGAGUGCAAGUAUGAUCUCAGCAGGUGACGGCCGGGCGGCCCCAGAGGCCUCUGGGCUGGAGGCCCAGCAGGGAAAGCACGAGGCAUCUCUGGGGAUGGCACAUCUCGGGCCGGCCAGGGCACCGGCGGGCCGUGGGAGAGCAGCCGGGAGGGGCGGGGCAGGGAGGCGCCGCCAGACAGGGGGUCUGGAAGCCGGGCGCUGGCCUCAGGGGAGAGGAAUGAACGGGGGCGGCCGGGCCACCCUGCCAAGGCAGCUGUGUGUGGACCAUGCGGGGUGAGGUGAAUUUUUCCAUACAUGCUAAGACCAAGGACGGGCCAGAAACCACUCUAGAGAGGGCAGGCUUCCUCCCCACUCGGCCCCUACCGAUGACAGCGUCAGUGAACACAGCCACGGGCCAGUGAAGUCACUCUGAGGACCUCACGAGGAAGCCACUGCUACUGGUCCCAUGCUGCAGACGCAGAAACUGAGGCACGGAGAGGGGAGCGACCCUCCGAGGCCGCACGGGCGGUACCCGCACGGGUCUGGCUGCCUCUGCGCUCCUUCCUUCCCCAGACACCCCUCCAGGCGGCGGGUGAUACCCUCGGUUCCCAUACUGUGGGAUGUUCAGAGGGCUGGGGAAAAUGGGUGGGCAGCAAGGAGGGGGAAGGGCUUCUGGGUGAGGCUUCCAGGGAGGCCAAGGCUGAGAGGGGGAGAGGGCAGAGGCGGGUGGACAGCACGGGGAGCUUCCGGGCCUGCAGUCAAGUGUAUGAGCCGGCCAGUGACCCUCAGCGCCACACGCGACAACAGCACAGUCAUAACCCAUGUGAGGACGGCAGCUCCGCUCCUCCUCACAGCUCAGGAGAUGUCUUCAGGGCAGAAGGAAACCUCAAGCCAGGUGUGCUGUGGCCCCAGCUCUAAGCACGUUGCACGCAUCAACCCUUGUAACACCCUUGGGCCAGACGGACCCAGCACUACCCUCACACGGCACAGGUGGAGAAACUGAGGCACGGAGCACUGCCUGAGAAGACAUGGCAAUGGAGAGACGGAGCUGGGGUCUGAACCUGGACCACCUGGCCAGAGGCCCCGGGCUUAACCCCUCUGCUGCCCGACCCUGUUGCUGAGGUCAGCAUGUUUCAAAGGAAAAGCCACAUCACUUCUGAAAAAUGGCUGCCUUCAACAGAGGGCACCAGAAAAACAAGUAUAAUAAAGACAGAACCUGGUUUUA